rnacentral:rRNA from 1 species
CUACGGGAGGCUCCAGUGAGGAAUAUUGCACAAUGGGGGGAACCCUGAUGCAGCAACGCCGCGUGGAGGAUGACGCAUUUCGGUGUGUAAACUCCUUUUAUAUGUCAAGAAAAUGACGGCAGCAUAUGAAUAAGCACUGGCUAACUCCGUGCCAGCAGCCGCGGUAAUACGGAGGGUGCAAGCGUUACUCGGAAUCACUGGGCGUAAAGGACGCGUAGGCGGGUUGGAAAGUCAGGUGUGAAAUCCUACAGCUUAACUGUAGAACUGCACUUGAAACUUCUAAUCUAGAGUAUGGGAGGGGGAGAUGGAAUUAGUGGUGUAGGGGUAAAAUCCGUAGAUAUCACUAGGAAUACCUAAAGCGAAGGCGAUCUCCCGGAACAUUACUGACGCUAAGGCGUGAAAGCGUGGGGAGCAAACAGGAUUAGAUACCCCCGUAGUC